rnacentral:rRNA from 1 species
UACGUAGGGUGCGAGCGUUAAUCGGAAUUACUGGGCGUAAAGCGUGCGCAGGCGGUUUUGUAAGCCAGAUGUGAAAUCCCCGGGCUUAACCUGGGAAUGGCAUUUGGGACUGCAAGGCUUGAGUGCGGCAGAGGAGACUGGAAUUCCUGGUGUAGCAGUGAAAUGCGUAGAUAUCAGGAGGAACACCGAUGGCGAAGGCAGGUCUCUGGGCUAUAACUGACGCUCAUGCACGAAAGCGUGGGGAGCAAACAGG